UACAGAGGUCUCAAGCGUUGUUCGGAUUCAUUGGGCGUAAAGGGUGCGUAGGCGGCGCGGUAAGUCGGGUGUGAAAUUUCGAGGCUUAACUUCGAAACUGCAUUCGAUACUGCCGUGCUAGAGGACUGGAGAGGAGACUGGAAAUUUACGGUGUAGCGGUGAAAUGCGUAGAUAUCGUAAGGAAGACCAGUGGCGAAGGCGGGUCUCUGGACAGUUCCUGACGCUGGAGGCACGAAGGUCAGGGGAGCAAACGGG
rnacentral:rRNA from 1 species